AGCAGCCGCGGUAAUUCCAGCUCCAAUAGCGUAUAUUAAAGUUGUUGCAGUUAAAAAGCUCGUAGUUGAAUUUCGGAAUCAGUAAGUUGGUCGUGCCACUGGUAUGUACUGGCUUUACUGAUUCCUCCUUCUUGAAGAACUGUAAUGCCAUUAAUUUGGUGUUGCAGGGAAACAGGACUGUUACUUUGAAAAAAUUAGAGUGUUUAAAGCAGGCUAACGCUUGAAUACAUUAGCAUGGAAUAAUGAAAUAGGACGUUCGAUCCUAUUUUGUUGGUUUCUAGGAUUGACAUAAUGAUUAAUAGGGAUAGUUGGGGGCAUUAGUAUUCAAUUGUCAGAGGUGAAAUUCUUGGAUUUAUUGAAGACUAACUACUGCGAAAGCAUUUGCCUAAGGAUGUUUUCAUUAAUCAAGAACGAAAGUUAGGGGAUCGAAGACGAUCAGAUACCGUCGUAGUCUUAACCAUAAACUAUGCCGACUAGGGAUCGGAUGAUGUUAAUUUUUAAUGA
rnacentral:rRNA from 1 species